CUCCUGCGAUGACGGGGGGCUGGGAUAAAAAAAUAAAAAUAUAGGACAAAAACACACAUAAAGACACACCACAACACUACAUAAAGAGAUAUUAUGACAAUGGAGUCAAUGGUCAGAUGGUCGUGGUCACAUCUGUCGAAGGGAGGACGGAGGAGGGCCUUGUAUGUAUUUCUGUGGGUAGAAUAUAAGUGGUCUACAGUUUCUGUCCCUCCAGUGAUGCAAAAAGACGUGUUUGGUAGAAGGGAUCUAGGAUAGUUUUAAGUCUCUGAGUUAGUCUCUGAGUUAGUCUCUGCCCACCAGAAACGUUGCCUCUGGGUGAGCGGUCUCUUUGUUUGUUUAUGGCCCCAUACAGUUCGUUGAGACCAGAGUGGUGUUGGCUUGGGGAGGGAUGUAGACUGCCGUGAUAAUUACGGAUGAGAACUCUCUUGGUACAUACAAGGGUCUGCAGUUUACCAUGAGGUAUUCUAUAUCAGGUAGAUUAAGGGGUCUGCAGUUUACCAUGAGGUAUUCUAUAUCAGGUAGAUUAAAGGGUCUAUAUAAGGUAGAUUAAGGGGUCUGCAGUUUACCAUGAGGUAUUCUAUAUCAGGUAGAUUAAAGGGUCUAUAUCAGGUAGAUUAAGGGGUCUACAGUUUACCAUGAGGUAUUCUAUAUCAGGUAGAUUAAGGGGUCUGCAGUUUACCAUGAGGUAUUCUAUAUCAGGUAGAUUAAAGGGUCUAUAUCAGGUAGAUUAAGGGGUCUACAGUUUACCAUGAGGUAUUCUAUAUCAGGUAGAUUAAGGGGUCUGCAGUUUACCAUGAGGUAUUCUAUAUCAGGUAGAUUAAAGGGUCUAUAUAAGGUAGAUUAAGGGGUCUGCAGUUUACCAUGAGGUAUUCUAUAUCAGGUAGAUUAAAGGGUCUAUAUCAGGUAGAUUAAGGGGUCUACAGUUUACCAUGAGGUAUUCUAUAUCAGGUAGAUUAAGGGGUCUGCAGUUUACCAUGAGGUAUUCUAUAUCAGGUAGAUUAAAGGGUCUAUAUCAGGUAGAUUAAGG